UGCAGCCCAAUCACCAAUUAAACUGCUAGCCCAAAAGAAAUAAAUAAAACCCACAUAUAUACUAAGUCAUCAUCUUCCUCACAAUAAUUCUAAACCCCAAAUUGAUGUGAGAGAAGCUCCUCCUUCUCACUUCCAGCUGAUGCCGUCGCCGCCGUCCGCCUCUACCUCCAGCGGUGUCUCUCUCUUCCCCUUCCGUUUCUCCCUCUCUCUCCUCUCUCUUUCUUCCCCCUCGGCUACGCUCAUGCCGCCGCCUCUGUCCAGCGCCGCCAUCCGGCGCCGCCUCUGUCCAGCACCGCCAUCCGCCGCCGCCUCCGGCGGCGCUCUCUCUCUCUUUCCCCUCUGCUUGUCCCUCUCUUCUCUCCCUCCGCUCUCUUUCUUUUCUUUCUCCUCUAUCUCUCCCUCUCUCGGAUCUACUCAUACCGCCACCGCCGCUGCUGUGCGUGCGCCGGCUGACCGUCGCUGCUGUGCAUGCACAGGCAGCGGCUUCGCCGCCUCUCCUCCGCGCCUCGCCAUUCUCCGACAGGUAAGAUUCGUUAAGGUUGUGAUAUUGGCAGUCGCUAGGGUGUCGGGCUGCCCUCAUCGUCUCUAGGCUGCCGAGAGUCUGUCUCCGGCAGAUUCAUACCCAUGAGAUAAGAUUCUUAAUUUAUGCUUACCUUGGUGGUAGGACUUGGAUUAUAUAUGUUAUAUAAAUUUGGUGAUCCUUGAACAAUUAUCUUGCUACUUGAGAUUUGAUGGUGAAACAUGGUGUUAAACUUGUUGUGUAUUGUUGAUUUCUGAUUUGAGCAGAUUCUACUUUCUCCUUAGAUAUGCAUAUGCUUGUACGUAUGUGCAGAAAAGAAAGGUUUGGGAUUUACCUUUUUACGUGGGCACAGAGUGUUGUUGGAUUGGGGACUUGAUCCUACAAUUAUCUGCAACUCUCCUUCCUCUAUUCUAUGUGAAAAUUUUCAAUUAUCUGCAACUCUCCUUCCUCUAUUCUAUGUGAAAUUUUUGGAAAGUUUGAUUGUGAUGUGGGUGGGUGAAAAUGAUUGUUUAUAUCCAUACAUAUGCAUAAAGAAUGGCAAGUGGCAAGUGAAAGUGGCGUGGGUAGCAAGUUGUGGCAGCAAGUUGCUACAUUCUUAUCCUAAUCAUUUUCCUUUGUCUGGAGAUUUGAUAUUCCCUUGCUAUCAUUAAAUGCAGUAUUCAAUGCUAUGUAGAAAAAAUUUGAUCGCAGUAUUAAAUCCUAUGUGGAAAAAAUUUGAUCCUCUGGAUUUGCCCUCUUUCUUUUUUUUUAAUUAUAUAUAUUUGUUUAUUAACGUAAUUAUUUGAUAAUUGUUCACUUGUUUAUUUAAUUUGGUGUAGGUUUGAUCGGUUCAAGUUCGUGGCUGUCCGUGUUGAAGUACCCGAUUUCCUUAGAACGCAAGAUGUAAAGAUUAAAUUUUGUUGAACUUUUGUUGGAUGUAUCGGACAUUAAAAUUUUAAAUUUUGGGGUCUUAAUUAUUUUUUUUUCA